UGUUCACAUUGAGUCCUAGAACAUCCCCAAAUUUUCCCAGAAUAUUUGAACAUUAGGGGGCGCUGUAGUGAUUCUGUGUAUUUUUGGCCAUUUCCUUCAAUUUUUGCAUUUACAAACGAACGAACUCCUCCGAGAGUUUAAAUCCGAUCCAUUUAAAAAUCUGGCAACUGGUUCCUGACACCCUUGGGGUCAAAAGUUAUUAAAAUCAAGAGUUUUCAUAAAACUACCUGGGCGUGAGCGUGCGUGCAGUUUGGACAAUUUUGGAAGAUUUUUUUCCAGAACGGAAAAUGGUAUAACUCCAAGGAACAUUGAUAUUUCUGGCUAGAAAUGUAUAUUCAUGAUGCUUGUCUAGGCCUUUAAGUAAUGCCAUGCAGUGAUUUUCGAAAAAGUAUAGCGCCACCUAUUGGCUUAGGUCAAUGCAAAGUUUCUACAUUUACAUGUCCAUUUCCUAGCCCUUUAAUGUGAUCAACUUCAAAUCUGGGAAUAUAAGACGUAAGACGGUGACGAUGGCUCACAGUGAGAAUUGGGAGUUUUGGACCAACUUUGUUGCUGUGACGACGUCAUCUUUGCAUGAAAGUUCAAGCACAUCUUCUGAGCCUCGGCACACUCCAAAACUCUUGAAAACCUCUGUGAGUAUCCUAUUUGAUGACCUUUACAGACCUGAUGUGGAGUUUUGGAUCAAAAGUGAAGAAUUGACUCCAUUGCGCCCCCUGGAAGAUUUUGACGAAGCGGCGCCGCCAUCCUGUUUAAUCUACAAGUCUGCUGAUUUUUUACCAUAUGUAUUAAAGGGAGACUUAAAAAAGUCUCUGAGGAAUUUUCUCUAAAACAAACAGGAAGGCAGUUAUAAUUUUUUUAGUCUGACAAUUCCCGGUAUUUUUGCAGGGGAGUGACGAAUCCUAUAUCAGUGACAUUUCGACUUCUCAAACCCAUCAGAAAACAUAGCUCUUUCGUUAAGCGUUCGCCCCCCGAUGCUAUGGUCGUGAGAUCGAGUCCCGACGAAAUCAUACUUUUUUUUUUUUGUUUCUGCUUUUUUUAAACGCGUGUCCGGCUGAUCUAACGGACAAAAUGAUUCAGGUAACUCUCCUUGCUGAGGUUAAAUAACUGUACACGUUAGAGCAGCUGUGUCACACUCGUUUCAGCCACAUACGGCUGCUGGGCACAGAUGCCGUAUGUGGAGCUGCUGGGAGACGUCAGUGAGCUGGCGUUUGCAGUCGGGUGGCGGACUGCUCUGGACGUUCUGCAGUUUGACACAUCUAACCUAGACAUAUAACACGGACAGUUCAAUCUAAAUACAUCUGGAUUUAAAUAGACGUAUUCUGCAACAUACGGGUGGAGAUGCAAACACGUUUUGUGAUGUUACUAGAUGUUCCGGGUUACUGUUAAUUUAAAGAACUUCAUCACCCAGCGUUCCCUAGUCUGUGUUGAAGGACAUGCGCAGAGCAGCGCGCGGCAGACCCCGGGGGUAGCAUUACAGUGGACUGUGCUAGUUUAGCAAAGUAUAGCUCGUGGAGUGCUAGGCGGGGUCUCCUCGCUAGCUAGUGAAGUGUUUAGCUAACUUUAGAAACGUUAUUAGCUCGUCACCAACGCCGAAGGCUUCACCGCGAACGCAAACGGCAGCCAGCCGCCUUGCCUCUACAGCCAGUGAUGUGCCCGGAGCUCAACGGCUUUCUCCCCCCUCUCUCUCCCACGCCACUAACAGACGUUUAACGGGCAGAACCGUGAGCUGCGAGUGGACAUAAUACUGAGGACGCAGUGUGAACAACAUUGGACAUUAUUGUAUACAAGGAUCUCUUCGUUAUGGGUAGUCUUGAAUGAUGUUAUUUCAUGUUUUCCUGCAUUCAGUUAAGAGCAACAGUGUUAAGCUUGGCCUGUCGUUUGCCGCAUCCAUGGCUCUAUGUUGCUAAUGACUGUCACACACAUUGGAAUGCAUGGAUGUUGUUACGGGGGAUUUAUCUGUUGUGUUCUGGUUAAUGAGUUAGAAUAACUCUCAAUUGAGCAGGACCGGUGUGCCCCUGUUAAAGCUUUAACUUAAUGUAUUUCUGUUCAAAGUAAGCUCUAUUCAGGUUAUGGACUUUAAUAACACUCCUCAUGUAACUUUACAUGUCUUUAAUGAAUACAGGAUGUAAUAUUUGUUCAGUAUGCAGGGGCAGUAUAUUUCAUUUGUCAUGUUGUACAUAUUUUGUUUUUUUACAUGAGAAUAUGCUUCGGUACAUGCUGAGUUAAUGAAUAUACAUUCUAAAGUGCAAUGUUCAUAUGUGAAUAAGAGUUGUAUACGUUUUAUGAUAGUCAAUAUGGUGUGGAAAUGUCUCAUGUAGUUGGUCAAUUGGAACUAUAUUAGGCAGUAAUAACAGCUAUGGUUUUUAUCUUAAAACAAAAAAGGAUAACUCUGUUGGACAACUACUCAAUUGUCUUGACGACAUAUAGGCCUGGAUGGCUUGGAACUUUUUUAAUUUUAAUGACUUGGGUCAAUGCAAAGUUUCUACAUGGCUUAACUGAUUCAAACUGAACUUACCAAUAUAUUAAGCCCUGGAGGAAGAGCGUAUCUUAGUCAAUGUAUUAUUAAUUAUUUCAUUCAGCAAAGCUCUCUUCAGGAAGACAGCCACGUCGUCAUCCAGCGGGUUUGGUUAAAAAGUUAACAUAUCUUGAUGGAGCAAAAGAGGUGGGGUUAGCUGUCGUCCUUGUACCUCGACUAAACCAAGGUGUGAAUUAACCUUGAUUGAGACUGCGUCUAUAAGAUAUACAGGACAAGAAAAAUGCACUGGAUGUAAACUGUACGCGUGUUGAAUCAAUUAUACGGACGCAAACUGGAGAACGAGA